GGGGAAUAUUGGACAAUGGGCGAAAGCCUGAUCCAGCCAUGCCGCGUGUGUGAAGAAGGUCUUCGGAUUGUAAAGCACUUUAAGUUGGGAGGAAGGGUUUCUGGCUAAUAUCCAGGAAUUUUGACGUUACCGACAGAAUAAUCACCGGCUAACUCCGUGCCAGCAGCCGCGGUAAUACGGAGGGUGCAAGCGUUACUCGGAAUCACUGGGCGUAAAGAGCACGUAGGCGGCCUUGCAAGUCAGAUGUGAAAUCCAACGGCUUAACCGUUGAACUGCAUUUGAAACUGCAAGGCUAGAGUAUGGGAGAGGUAGGUGGAAUUCUCGGUGUAGGGCUAAAAUCCGUAGAGAUCGAGAGGAAUACUCAUUGCGAAGGCGACCUGCUGCAACAUUACUGACGCUGAGGUGCGAAAGCGUGGGGAGCAAACA
rnacentral:rRNA from 1 species